CUGAAUACACCUGAUCUCAUCUGAUCUGCAAAGCUAAGCAG
ensembl:rRNA 5S_rRNA 5S ribosomal RNA